UAGGGAGCAUGUGCACACCUGUGUCAUCUUUAUAUCUCCACCUGUGCACCUUUUGUAGACCUUUUCAGGUCUAUGUUGCUUCAUUUACCCCCAAUGUAUGUUAAUAGAAUGUUGUGCCUAUAAUAAUAUAUACAACUUUCAGCAUCUGAUCUCUUGGGUCUCGCAUCAAUGAACAACGCAACGAAAUGCGAUAAGUAAUGUGAAUUGCUCAAUUCAUUGAAUCAUCUAAUCUUUGAACGCGCCUUGCGCUCCUUGGUAUUCCGAGGAGCAGGCCUGUUUGAGUGUCAUUAAUAUAUCACCCUUCUCUUGUUGAGGGGUUUGGAUGUGGGAGUUUGCUGGCCUCUUGAAAGGUUUUACCUCUCCUGAAAUGCCUUAGCGGAACAACCCUGUUCAUUGGCGUGGUAACUAUCUGCCCUAUUGAAUGUAAAGGGCAGUUUGGCUUUCUAUCAGUCCUUGGACCCCUCAUCAUUAAUGUGACCUCAAAUCAGGAGGACUACCCGCUGAACUUAAGCAUAUCAAUAA
rnacentral:rRNA from 1 species